AGGCGCAUGUGCGCCGCACCGAAAUCUGAAAGACACUUUUUUAGGGAAAUUGCCCCAUUGCUCUCGUUCCGUUCCCCCUCUCAAAUCUCCUGCUUCACUCUCCCUAGCUGCGUAUUGUGAACGACCUCGCCCAUCCGGCACUGCCGGCAUCCUGUUCUCGCUGCGUGGCGUUGAUACGGCUGGGUUGCGAUGGUACACCCCCUCCACCUUUCUCAGCCUUUUCUGCAUCCUUUUUUUGUGUGUAAACUUCCAGUUUAGAAAACAACAACAACCAAACAAACCAGUUUUGUUCGUGCUGCCUCUCCCGUUGCUGAUUCUGUCUCUGCGCUACUGUGUGUCUCUCUGUGUAUUUCUCUCACUCUGCCUCGCUGUCUUCGCACAAGCCCUCUCAUCUCUUUGCGCUCUUAGCAUAUACGCCUCUCUCUCGGGGUACAUAUAUAAGUCUUUCUCGUUUGUGAUAGCGACGUGGACACUGCUCUCUUCUAUCUCUUUCCACUUUCUUCCGUUGUUUUGCUUCUUUCAUCGGUUUACUUUUUUGUUUUCGGUUUGUGUGAAGUUGAUCGUGUACGUGUGUACGUGUGGUCCAGACACCCUGCGCGUUCUCUUGUCCUUUGGCUUUUCCCUUCCCGUUUCUAUAUUGAUCCUGUCAGCGGACCGCUUUCCUGCAAACAAAUAAGCGAAACAACAACAACAAAAAUAAGCGUGGGCGCCUCGUGUCGCCCCUCCGUCGUCCCCCCCACACACCGUCUUUGUCUCUCUCUUUCUCUCUCUAGUGCCCUCGCUUGUCCCCUUCGCAAGCCACUGAGGAAACGCUGUCCUUGCUUCCUCCAUAUCAGCAGAAGGCAAAACAAAACAAGGAAAACAUUCAACAUCAUUGGACGCACCUGCAAAGGCAGAAGAGGGAGGGCGGACUGCGCGUCACGGUUUGCAUGCGUUUUUGCAUGUGUGUGUGCCGGGUGAGCUUGUGUUCCUCUUUUUGUGCGUGUGUGUGUGGGACUUGUCUUCAAAGACAGACAGACAGAAAGCAAGCGAGGGGAGGUGAGGCGGCGCGUACACACGCGAGACCCUUUCUGACUGUGUUGACUAGUUUCUACCGGCUGGCAGUGUGUGCGUGCGUCUACGUGUGUGUCUGUAUGAGUAACGUCUUGUUUUACCUGCUUUGUUGUAGUAGUUUUCACCCCUUCCUCUCGUCACUCGUACUCCCGCUUCUUGCGUGCUGCUAUAUUUUUCUCCUUGUGUUUUGCUUGUAUUGGUGGCGCCCCCUUUUUUCUUUUGCGUUUUCUCUCUCUCUCUCUCGCACGUUCUUCUCGCAUAUCGGCUGCCCCGCGCGCCUCCUUUUAUUCUUGUUUGAUUCUUAGUGCUUGUCGGGGCGAAGAGAAGGAAUCAAAAUACCUGAGGGAGGAAGCGGUCGUGGGCAGCAUCCACGUGCGAAGACGCUGUCACGCGAGUGCGUGUGAGUGGAGACGGGGCGGAGAAGAGCCACACGAAGAACGAAAGACGAAAAAAGAAAAUAGUUCGCAGAGCAGUAGAGAGGAAGACAGGGGCGCUUGCCUCCCGUCCAACUCGCAUUUUUUCGUUCGAUUUCCGCAUUCUGGCCGUGUCUGUGCGGCGGAGACUUUUUCCCCUGCCAACGGACUGUCUCUUUUUUAUUUCUUGUAGUUGUGCCACGGACUGCUCUCAAAGGGUUUGUGUGCGCGUGUGCGCCCGCUUCUGAUCUUCUGCGUUUCCCGCAGUGCCCCUUGCCUUUCCGCCAUCAUAAACAUUAUUGCGAUUAAGGGGCUGUGCGGCGGACGGCUGCUGGUGGAACGCACACAGGCACACACCGAUAAAAAAAAACCAUACGCAAGAGGUGGGCAGCAGGCACGCACAUCUUGUUUUCUCACUUUUCUAUUUUCCUUUGUGCUGCGUCGGGUUCACUUGUUUCAGUGAGAAGACUGCCUCUCUUUCUCUCUGUGUCCGUGCCUGCGUCUCCCUUGACUCUUUCACAUUUUAGUAUCUCAGGUUUGCCUUGCCUCGACAGCAGAAGGAAAGGUGGUUCACCUACACCUUCUGACCUCACGGCUCCGCUCGAUAGUUUCCCAGCCAUCCGUUCACCAACGCACACGCGCACUUCCGCUCAUUUUUUGCUCCGUUGUACAUCAUAAGGGGGUCCAAAAAGCAAAAACGUCUGCAAGUGCGAAAAAAAAAUGAGCGGCCGCAACACACCUCAGGCGAAGAGUCGCCAGUGCAGCAGUGGCCAUGUCACCCCUACUUCUAGCCGGCGAGUGCCACAUCUGAGUACAUCGGCGCUCUCGCCUGAAACGUCGGUCUCCAAAAUGACAGCACAGCGAGCUUGUAGCACAGACCGCAGGAGGGAUCGUUACACGAGGCGUCGUUCAAGCAUGCUAUCAACGCUCCGUAUCCCGGUACACGAGGAGCCGGAGGAGGAGGAAGUACCUGCCUCACCAGACCCGUAUGCGACGUCGCCUUUCCGUGGCGCCUCACCGUCCAUCGUAUCUAUGGUUCGCGCAGGGUCCAUCUCGAGCGAGAAUAUGCCACCCCCACCGGAUAUCCAACACAUUGAGGGCCAGCUUUGGUUUGUGACGGGGAAGAACGGCCCAGGGAAGAAGCACGCAUCUGCGCAGUGGGUCGUGUGCGAAGACCAGCGCCUCUCCGUGUACAGUAGUUGGGCCAAUAGCAGCCGGCUCGUGGAGGAGGCGCGCUUUGAGAGAGUGCGUAUCCUGUUCGACUUUCUACAUCCACACAGGCACCCGGAGGUGAUGGGCAGCGGCGCCCCGCAGACGCGUCGCAUGACGAUUCACCGCAACGAGUCCCGCACCACAGCGGAGUCGCGCUACGCAUUUCAUAUACGCGACCCCUGCGACGCCAAAACCCUCGCCGGAUACUACUACUUUGGGGUUGAGUGUGUGAUGCGUGACCCACUGACGGUGAGGCUGCGUCGCAGCCUUGCGGUCUUCUGCACCGAUCAUCCAGAGGACCACCGCAAGUGGCUCGACUUUUGGGAGGAGAUGCAGGUGCGCUACCCCAUGCUGCGGAAUCGAAACGCCGCAGCCAUGUCGAUGGACAUCAGCUCAGAGUUAAUGAGCGAAUUUGUGUUCCCUCCGCAGGCGGUGAAGCCGGUAGUAGGAGGAAAAAGCGAAGAAGACACGGACUUGGUGAGCAGCCCGGGCUUGCCGUCACCGAUCGGCCGAGAUGAGGACAGCCUCGCCACCACACGUGCGCCAAAAUGGACUGAUAGCGAGCACGGGCAACCUCACUGGAAGGGCUGCACACAACCUCUGCCCUUUGCGUCGCUGGGCAGUACCUCCGCCGAUGGCGUGCGUGGAAGCCUUCUAGGCGACGUGGCUGCCGGUGGUGAGGACGCCGAGGCAGGAGGCUCUGAACAGUGGCUUGCGCUGCUCGUCGAUGCGGAACGGCAGGCGCGAGAGGGGAUCGAGCUCAUUGAGGCUGCGACGCGCAGCGUGCUGGAGGCUAACCAGGCGCUGCGCGAUCUCUUUCACCACGUGGCGCCGACGGCAACCGUUCCCUCUCCCGUAGCAGCGGUGUGCAGCAAAGAUGAGGGCAGUGCCGGCGACGACGCCGCGAGCGGCGUGCCGAUGCGCGAUGGCGGCAUGAUGCGCGCCUUGCAGGCGGAGCUGAGGGCUUUGUGCACAGCUUUCAAGAGGGCAAAAAGCCGGGCUUUCACGUCCGCCCCAGCGCCGGAAACGCUGAUACCAGCGGAGUCGACCGCGGUGGCAAAUCAGGUGCUGUUGGCGGCAUAUGAGCGGGAGUUGGAGGUGCUGCGGGCCCAAAAUGCAACUCUGAGGAGAGAACUUGACACUCAUGCAGCCACCGCCGCGGCGCGUGUUGAGAGGGCACUGGGUGAGUGGACUCUGACCAGUACCGUCGACAUCGUUGUCUCCGAUGCAGAAAACGGGGGCGGCGGUCAUGAAGUCGCCGAUGCUUCUGCGGAUAGACAGCGAUACUUGGCCGCGGAUGAAGCCCUCGUGCGAGCCUUGGUCGAGGCUGCGCUGGUGCAAGAAUCAUCGACUGCUGCCUUCGACUCUUCCGGCGGCGCCGCGUCCUCUGCGCAGGUUAACACUCAGGGUGAGUCUGCCUCCACUCCACAAGCGUCCCACGCGACUCUGUCAACCGACGCCGAUGGGUACGGCGGGGUCAUUAGUGCCGGACGCCUCUUAAGCACCGCAUCCGAUUCUCGCCAGCUUUGCCGAGCACACAGCGGAGAGGCCCAGCUCUCGGACGCUACGAGUGCAGCAGGCGAUUUGGCGGCUUCGCUGCCAGCUCUGGUGCAACAACACUUGAGCGCGUUUGCCACGGAGCACGGUCGCCGCCUCGGAAGCACUGAUCUUGCACGUUCUUUGUCGACGGAUCGAGACUCCCUUCUGUAUCAUGUGGUGGACGAGGUCGUGACGGCCUUCAAAGACUUGAUUGACGCUCCCCACAUAGCCACAGACAUCUCGAAGGCUGAUGGAAACGCUGCCGCGUCUGCUCCAACCGCCACCGCGGUGUCAUCGUGGCUCUCUGUGCUGCAUCGAUGCCUUCUUCACAGGCUUGGCGUGGCCGGAGUGGUUUGUGGCGCGGGCACCAGCAACCAGAGCUCGCUAGCUGCUGCUGAGGUCGGUGGGCCUGCGACGGAUGCAGCGAGCGCCGUCGAGGCUGCCGCCGCCGCUGGAGACGACGUGGCUGGAUGCUGUCCCCCCGCUGAGGCCUCCUCAAAUGCGCGACAGAGCAGUUCGCUGCCGCCGCUCACAGAUGAAGAGAUAGCCAUCGUAGGCGACCUUCAUCACUCUGCUCAUGACGUAGUAGCGUGGAUUCUCGAUCUGCUGGGUGAGAGGCAGCGGUAUGCGGCCUAUGUGACCGCUUUAGACUCCCUGACAUGCCGACAUGACGUGUUUCGCCCUCUGAAAGCGGUACAGGGGGAACUUGAGAGGGUAACAGCGCGCUGUGAAGCAGCUGCGGCGGCCGCGAGUCCCAGCAGUGCCGCAUGCGGACCCAGUGAGGCGACUAAUUCCGACACCUUCCCACUCGAGGCAGCUGCGGUAUCUAGCGCCGAUGACGACGACCCCGAGGAUUCAGAGAAACAUACCGCGGAUGGUUCAGAUGGGCUCAAAGUAGAGCGCCGCCUCACGGCACGCCUGCAGCACGCUAUGGCUGCCUUUGACAGCAAAUGCGAGGAGGCUGCGGCGCUGCGGCGCUUGCUGAUCGCAAUCCUCUACGGAAGUGAGAUGGCGCUUCGAAAGGCGGACUCCACCGAUGAGGUCGUUUCGGCGGCGAUGACGAGUGCUGCUGCAGCAUGUGAGGCGUUCCGCGCGGCUCAAGAAGCGGGCGUUGGUGAAGUGGACAAGCUUCGAGGUGCUGCAGAGGCAUGCGUGGCAGCGAGAGCGAGGGAGGAGGUGUGGGCCAGCACCCUCACUCCAGCUGUGUUGCAGGCGUGCGCGGACGCGCUCAUCGGCGCUCCAUGUAUCCAGGACAUGGUACACGCAUUACAGUUGACACUUGGGCGCUGUCCUGAAAUACACGGCAGGCCAAGGUGGGUUGGAGGCGCCGCUUAUGUACCGCCACUCUCGCAAGAGAGUAUAGGGAGCCUUGCGCAGGAGCUUCACCAGCGUCUCGCUGUGGAGCAGGCACGCUGCAAUGGACUGCUUGGCGAGGUGAUGCUGAUAUCCUCCUCACUUGCUUGUGUGGGGAGUGAGCCACUUACGGCGGCCUAUUCGACCGCGAUGACGGCAACAGCGAACGCAAGCGCCAUGACAAACGAGGCCGUGAAGGCAUGGGCGGCUUACACGAAGCACGCUUGUGAAGUCGUGCCCGGGCAGCAACGUGAUCUUCACAAGCCUGUCGAGACAAAAUCCGACCCUUGCCUCUCCGCUGCUCCCGCAGAGACGACAGCAGAGACUGCUCCUCACGAGGCUGUCCACGCUCGCCUCGUCGCGGCGCUGAGCCGAGCGGACGGCGCGCGCGGGUUACGCAGCGCUGCUUUCGAUGCCACGAACUCUCUUCUGCCAAACUUAUUUGCCAGUAUCGCUGGUACGCAAACAGCGCUUUGGCGGCUUGUAGGAGCCCUCCUCCGACACGGCGCUGGCGCAGGUGUGCCCUCGCCGGAGGUUUUGCUUGCCCUUCCCAUCGCGCACCACAUCGCUGCGCCACAUGCUAUCGGCGACAGUGAAGCAGAUGUAUCGUCAUUAGGUGUGCACAUCGGGGUAGCAGCAAGCGCAGCCGAAGAGCUGCUGAGUGAGUGCGAGAAGGCGGCAAGUGAGCACCGCGAAUGGACACAGCAACUCCUGCAGUGGCUCAAAGACUUUCCUCCGGCGUAUACGAGUGACGCCGCACCCGAACCGGCGUCGGAGUUGCGGUACGAUGCGUCCACCGCGCAUGAGGUCUAUGCUCAGCUGCUGGAGGAGCUUGCCGCCGCGGAAAGCGAGCACAUGAGUAGAGUCGGCGCGGUGGAGGCGCUGCUGUGGAAAACAAGCUGUGUGCGUACAAUCUCAGUUCCUGAGCUGAGCGACGGAGCGGGGGACGCUGAUAUUGCAGCGCUUGCGGCUGCUGCCGCGGCGGACAUAGCAGAGGCUCUACGUGUGUCGGACGCGCACGUCAGCGUGACUGCAGCUUCCGUCGAUCCCGUCCAACGUGCGGUGCAUGUGAGUGCAACCAUCGCUCAUCACCCCCGAGGACUAACGCGUGCAUCCGUGCUUGGCGCCAUACAUGCCUGCCCGUUUGCACGUCUGCAGGAAGCACUAAAAGGCGCACCGGUCGAUUCUGCUGCGACUGCUUCCGACACGGGCGAGCGGAGCACAGCACACCCAGCGACUGCGGACUCGCCAGAGGGCAUCGAUGCCGUGAGCCAGCUCGCUAGGAGCCUGCAGCACCGCGCCGCGAAGAUGGCUGCCGUCGCCGAAUUUGAGAAGCGAGUACUUGCACUGCUUCCCAGGCCGCAGGAUAUAGCCAUGGCGAGCGCCGGGAUGCCCACCAUCGAUGCAACUCCGGCCUGCAAGGCAGUUCAAGCCUUGGCAGCAAUGCUCGCGGACGAACUCGAUAUACAGAUUCCAGAGGCCAACUUCAAGAGGCCCUCCACCGCAUCCGCCGCCCUCCUCGACAGUCUUGCCUCUUACCUGGAGCAACUCCACGACGCUGCCCUACCCACUUUACACCACCGCAGGAUCGAGUCUGGGUAUGCGUCCCUAGAAAAACUGCGCGCUGCCGUAGACGCACUGCAUGAUGCCGCCCUUGAAAAGGUUGCAGACGCCGCGCUCGAGCAGAUUUCCCCCCUUCACAACAUCAUAGAUGUGCCGUGGCCAGAGGCACUCAAAGCUGCCGAUCUUCGUCAUAUCCACCUCAUUAUCGAGCAUCUGGCCAGCGGAGCAGAUCGAGCGGCAUCACCCGAUUCUACCGAUGAUCAAUUCAACAAUCUGCGCGUCAUCGCCCAGGCCCUCGGCGUGCCGCCGGACGCGUACGCUGGCGAGCGGGACGGCGAGUGCGUGCCAACAACCGGACAGCUAGCGGAGCGCGCUGGCGCUGUGGUGAGCGCCCGCGCUGAGGAGACGGCGGGGCUGCGCGCCAUCGCCCAGGCCCUCGGCGUGCCGCCGGACGCGUACGCUGGCGAAUGGACGGAAGAGAUGACUCCGAGGUGUUCCGAGGUGCUGUCAGCUGUUGACGCUCUGGUGAAGCGAUCCAAGAUGACUUGUGAGGCGGCGUCGAUGGAUGCGGGAGAAGGUGAGGCGGCUGUUGGGGUGCUGGUGACUCUGUGGGAGGCAGUUGAAGAGGCCGGAGUCGUGACUGCGGAUCUGGAGGAUGGCUGGUGGUCCGUUGAGGGCCGAAGCCGUUGGGAAGCCGCUGCUCGUCUAGUCGGCGCACUUUCUGCAGCGGUGGAAGUGUCGCGGGAGGAGCUCGCGGAUGUCUCGGAGCGCAUCAAGCUCUUUGAGGAUGAGCUGGUGGACGUGGAGCGAGACCACAACGAGUCGCGUGAGACGAUCACGGCAGCGGUGGAGAAGCUGCGCGGAGGACUCGAGGAGGUGAUUAUUGAAGACCCCGGCGAGAUGUCGCCGCCUUCUUCGCGUGGAUCGACGGUGUGCGGGCCUCUGUUUACCAGUCUGCGGCAACUCACAAGCGAGGUAUCAGAUGUUGCCAAUGUGCUACGGCGAGUAAAGCAGGUGUUGGAAGAGCAUAAUGCUGAAGAGAAAUGCAUGCCGGAGUUGGAGGAGGUGAGCUUCCCUGUUCCACAGCAGGACGGUUGUGACGUGCUCGAGGCGGGCAAGGUGCUGACGUACGAGGAUGUGGUCGCCGGUGUACGUGCGAAGGUAGUGGCCUUGAGAAAGGAGCGGGCGAGGCGUAUAGAGACGGAUGCCGCUCUGAAAAACUUUUUGAGCGCUGUUACCGACAGAAGCACAUUUUCCGAGGAGCAGCCGGUGCCACGUCCAUCGUUGUUGAUGUCGAGACGAUGCGUCAAGCCUAAGGCGAAACCGCAGCCGGCAGACUUAGAAUCCAGCGUCAGCGAGGAGUUUUCCUUGCCGCGCACACCGCUGCAUUUGUCCACCAACAGUGGCAAUACCGACGCGCCGCUUGGGUGCAGUGGCAGUAUCUCAGUGCCGGUGUCACGCUGGGCUACCAGUGAGGUGCUGGAGAAAGUGCGUCACCAGAUGAACCAGGCGGAGAACGCUAUCGUGACACUGCGGGUUGCCGUUGCUGCGGCAUACGAAGCGCUGGGCGGCGAGGAUGAUGUGGUGCACGUGCCAGACAACGAGGCAGCCCGGCUGCUGCUGGAGCUGGCGCAGAAUACCGCUGAAAGCAUCGUGUUUGUCAAGAGGCUUCUCGAGCCUUUGGAGGAGAGCGAAGCUUCGACUGGUCGACGCGAGCAGCUUGCGCACCUGGUGGAUCGCAUCAAGGAAAAGCUUGGCAGCAGCUCCGGGGCCUCCAUGCCCACCCUACUGCAAGCGAUGGAGGAAGGCAUGCACUCUAUGUAUAACGAAUCCACCUCCUCGCGACGAUCACCGGGGUCGUCAGUGAAUCGGCACCUGCCGCGCAAACAGAAACCCGUGGCGCCAGAGGUGGAAUUCACGAAGGGUUUUCAUCUCACCCAGCAGGUUGUGCGUAACCGUGACAGCUCCGCGUCGUCACUGACCUCGACGCUGAAGGUGCUGGCUCCGCCGCCGCCCGGCCCACGAGACUCGACCGAGGAUAUGGAGAAGGAGAUUGGGUACCGUAUGCAGGAGCUGGAUGCGCUACGACGCGGCUGCAGCGUUGCCCUCAGAACACUCGACUCCUCGUUGAAUGUCUCUGAUAUGGACUGCAACGCCAUGAUUAUGCAUCUGGUGGAGCGCUGUAGCGACGUGCAAACGGCAAUGCAGAUCACAGACGUUGUGUUUGAGGACGACGACAUUAUAUCGGAGGUGAGCGCCGCGGCCUCGUCUUACAGAGCCAGCAACCCGCCUGCGAGCGAGCACCCGCUGCCGAUGCGAUGUAGCGUUCUCGUGCGUGCUGUCAAGUCCCUCGACAAUUUGUGCGAGUCGAUGCGGCACACGCAGGCCAACAUGGCGAAACAGCAGCGCUUUCUCAUGCACAACGAAACUCAGAACACAGGUGAACUUCGACGGGCGUUGGUGGAGUUGGAGCAGCAGCUGCACAACGGCAAUGCGGAGCGGUUGGAGCUGCAGAAAGCGAAAGAGGCGGCGGAAAAGAACGCGGCCGAGCUGUCGCAUGCUCUGGAGAUGGCGCACAAAGAGCUCACCAACCUGCAGAACGUCCGAGACGACUUGGAGAGGUCGCUGAUGCAGUUCAAGCAGCAACAUGCCAAGGAUGAUGAGCUGGAUCGGGCCGACGAAAAGCUGAACUCCUUGAACCAUGCUAAAAUGCCGCAAGCGGUGCUGGAGGCGGCCACGGAUGCUGUGCGUACGGAGGUGUUGGGGCCGUGUCAGCAGCUUCACUUGGCGGUGGUGGGAAGAGAGAUGCCAAAGUCUGAGAUGCUUGCCGAAGGCGAGGCGCAAGAGGUGCUUCUUCCGGCUCUACAUGCCAUCGCCAAGGCGCUGCAGAACGCUGUGGAGGAGAUGACCCGGCUUGCCACCGGGGACAUGGGAAUCGCAGCCUUGCUUGCCGAGGAGCGUAAGCAUGCUGCGCAGCGGGCCGCGGCGCUGAAGAGCGAGCUUGCUUCCGUUGCAGAAGCAAAGGAAGAGGCAGAGGCGAGAGCCAAGGCGGCUGCGAAGCACCUGAAGCAGGCUGAGGACGCCUUUGAGGACGAAGUUGCGAAGCUGAAGCGCGCUCUUCGCAACAGCGAGGCAAUGCUGGAGGACAAGGAGGCGAAUCACCAGCGUCGGUUGCGCCAGGCGCAGGCGGCCGCAGAAGAUCAGCUGGCGUUGGUACAGCAACGCUUAGACCGUGCCACGCGUGCGCAGACAGAGGAGGAGCGGCUGAGAGCGGCAUCUGAGGAAAAUGUACAGAAAUUGCGCGGCGCUCUCGCAGAGGUUGAGUCGGAGCUUUCCCGGCAGCAGCGCUACGCAGCUGAGGAUACGAUGACGCAGCGUAAAGGCAGCAUGCAGCGCAUAGACUCCCUGGAAGCAGAUCUUGCUGCAGCUCGCUUGCAUAGCAGCGAGUUGGCGCAGGCUCUUGGGCGUGCGAGGCGCGACAGUGCAGAGGCUGCACGGGCUCUCGAGGCAGAGGCGCGGGAGAAGGCAAAGCUAGCCGAAGAGCUGGCAGACACACUCGCGCAGCUGCGCGCGGCGAACAAUGAGCUGGCCAGUAUCUGUGCGAGCAUUGCCUCAACUGGGUUAACAUCAUCAAUAAAGUCGUCUGCAUCCUCGCCAGCGUCCCCAGAAAGAGCGACGGAACUCGUGGCAGGACUCGUGGACCAUGUUGCGGUGCUGCAGCGUGCGCUAGAGGCCCAAGAAACGGCGCGGCAACAGCAUCGCACCAAGGGUACACAGAGUGAGGAUGCUGUGGCCGAGACACUGGCGGCGUUCGCAGCCAUCUGGACCGCCGCGGUAAAAACCGGAUGCACACCAGCGCGGCUCAACGAAGGGUGUCUGACACCGAUGGACAAGGCGAAGGCCGUGUCGAACGCUCUGACGAGCGAUGUCUCACCGCAGUUAGAUGACCUUGCGGCUACCAGACAGCGCCUGUUGAAUUUGUUGUGCCAUCCACGGGUGCGUCACCUAGAGCGGUCAGCAGCACUAGGGCCUCUCGAGAAGGCAACUACUGCAGCCCUGGUUCAGACCUACCAUGACGCCAUGGAGGGGUGCUACGAGGCGCAACAAGCUGCGCUUGAGCGAGAGCUGCGAGAUGCGCAGUGCAAAGUUCAGAGCCUUCUGGCGCGAUUGCAGGAGCAAGAGGAGCUGCACGCGAUGGAGGCGGCAGAGGUGGAGAUUCGCAUUGGCCGCAUGCGCGAGAUGGUGCAAAGCAAGCUCAUGGCAGACGAGAUUGCCGAGCAGCACAUGCGAGAGACGGAUGCUGCCGUGCGCGCGCACUUCGUGCUCUAGUCUCAGCUGUUAAACUUGACGCUUGUUGUGUACACGCGUGCACAUACAUUGAUCGACCUGGUGCACGCGUCUGUAAAUGUGUGUGCUUGUGUGUGCCUGUACACGCGUGCAUGCGUGAUUGUACUACCAAUGAUCAAAUACUCUAUGCCAUCUCUUCUCGGAUGCGCGAUUAGAUGUGCAGGAGGUUCUCUCUCCCCCAUUCUCUCAGCUGGUGCACAGCAUGGGACGCGACGCUGCGCUCUGCGUGAUGGUCUUGAUGAGUGUCUUCUCCGCGUUGUGUGCUUACCUCUUUUCGCCCUUUCGGAUUCCAGGCGCGUUUGGGCUGCACCACGGCUGCUGUCACCUCUUCCCCCUUCUAUGCAACCAUCAAUCCAUCCCACCUCGCUUUACUUCACCUCCCCUUGCUCCUCUUCCGCGUGAUCUCUUCGUGCCUUGCACGCACCUGUGCUUUGCCUCUUCGAUGGUGCGGGGGCGUGUCUUGCCAG
rnacentral:misc_RNA from 1 species